rnacentral:misc_RNA from 1 species
GAUAACCUUUGAAGCUUAAGCCAAAUGAUAAAUCAUUCACACAAAUAAGUGCAUAGAAUUUUAAGCAAUAGCAAUUGAAAUAUUAGUGGCAAAUAUAAUAGGCCCUCAGUGAGAAAAUAGUUAAGAAUUGAAACGCUGGUCGUUCUCCAGUGGCUAACCCACGCAACCACCAUAUGUGUUAUGCCUGUGGAAGGAGAAUCCUUAAAACACCUCAGUUUUACGUACUGAUCUCCGAAGAAAAGCAACAUCAUCCCUUCUUGUCAUAGGCAGCUAUAUUUUGUGGUUCACAUUCAGGACUAAAUAGACGAACUAGCAAAGCGGUGCUUGAGCUCACAGUAACAGCCCCACAAGCUGCCCAUCUAAGACUUCUAGGAACUGUGAUUCUAGGACCAUAGUGCAAUCGGCAAAGAAUCCAAAAUCCUAAUGCUCCUCCAACAGAAAAAAUCCCAGCAGUUUGUCUCAUUAGUCUUGUGCAAGGUUUUGCAUCUGAUCUCAUUAACUCUCCAUCCGAAUACCCAAGCAUACGCCUUAAAGCCAUCACACCAGAAACCUCAAUAAUCACCAAAUGCACAAUUGAAUCGCUGUUGCAGCUACUGAAGAUAGGGC